CCAAUGAGGCAGUUUAUAUCGGGAUUUUGUUUCACAGCCACGGCCUCCUGGGAGAGAGGGGUCUGCCAAUAACACUUAAGAGACAGAGCAGGAAAAAAAUUAAACCUGUGCGGACGAUGUCUUGGCCCUGAUGUUGUACUGCAUGGGGUGAAGAGGCUGGUUGGAGGGGAUCAAUAGAGGGCCAGAUGGAGAUAUUGAUGGGUGACAGAUGAGUCCAGAGUUCUGGAUUGAACCCAAAGACAAGAGAGUCAUCAACAAUGGGUUUACCCACAUGUUUUGAAUAAAAACAAAAUGUGUGUUUUUCUGCUCAUUAACUGUAUAACUAAUAAUACAAAUGCCGUAGUAAAGUAUGUUGAUAAAAGGCAAUAAUAAGCCAUAUCAUAGUAUGUCAAAGAAAGUGAUCAAAAAGACAUAGUAUAGUAUUUUGAAAUAAGUCAUAGUUUAGAAUGUUAAAAAAAAGUCAUAAAGAAGCUAAUGCCUAGUAGGUAGAAAAAGUCAUUAAAAAGCCAUAUAAUACUAUGUUGAAGUAAUUGUUUAGUAUGCUAAAAAAGUCAUGAAAAGUAAUUAUAUAGUUUGUCGAGAAAAGUCAUAAAAAUUCAUAGGGUAGCAUGUCGAAAAAAUGUAAAUAUAAAAAGUCACAUUAUAAUAUCUUCAAAAAAGUAAAA